rnacentral:misc_RNA from 1 species
GAUGAAGAACGCAGCGAAAUGCGAUACGUAAUGUGAAUUGCAGAAUUCAGUGAAUCAUCGAAUCUUUGAACGCACAUUGCGCCCGCCAGUAUUCUGGCGGGCAUGCCUGUUCGAGCGUCAUUACAACCCUCAGGCCCCCGGGCCUGGCGUUGGGGAUCGGCGGAAGCCCCCUGCGGGCACAACGCCGUCCCCCAAAUACAGUGGCGGUCCCGCCGCAGCUUCCAUUGCGUAGUAGCUAACACCUCGCAACUGGAGAGCGGCGCGGCCACGCCGUAAAACACCCAACUUCUGAAUGUUGACCUCGAAUCAGGUAGGAAUACCCGCUGAACUUAAGCAUAUCAAUAGCGGAGGA